rnacentral:ncRNA from 1 species
AUCCUAUACAGAUGUAUUCAACGCAAGCCAGUUGGGCAUCUCCCUGUAGGAUAAAGUUUAUCAGAAGUUCUAGCAACAAUUCUCAUUGUGUGGCUCUACGGUCGAAAUGGGAUGAGUUAGGGUGGAAUAGGUUAACCGUAAGACCUUGAGUUGCAAGACUCUAAAAUUGACCUAGAGGUGUGGAUUUCUUAAUUUUCGCAUUUUCUAGUUACGGCAUA